rnacentral:rRNA from 1 species
CCUACGGGUGGCAGCAGUGAGGAAUAUUGGUCAAUGGACGAAAGUCUGAACCAGCCAAGUAGCGUGAGGGAUGAAGGCCCUGUGGGUUGUAAACUUCUUUUAUCCAGGAAUAAAACGAGGCACGUGUGCGUUUUUGCGUGUACUUUAUGAAUAAGCAUCGGCUAACUCCGUGCCAGCAGCCGCGGUAAUACGGAGGAUCCGAGCGUUAUCCGGAUUUAUUGGGUUUAAAGGGAGCGUAGAGGGGUUGUUAAGUCAGUUGUGAAAGUUUGCGGCUCAACCGCAAAAUUGCAAUUGAUACUGGCAGUCUUGAGUACAGUGGAGGUAGGCGGAAUUCGUGGUGUAGCGGUGAAAUGCUUAGAUAUCACGAAGAACCCCGAUUGCGAAGGCAGCUUACUAAACUGUGACUGACAUUGAGGCUCGAAAGUGUGGGUAUCAAACAGGAUUAGAUACCCCUGUAGUC